rnacentral:rRNA from 1 species
CCGUCAUGACUCGUCCGGCGAGUGAGCGGCAAGAGCUCAAAUUUGAAAGCUGGCCCCUUCGGGGUCCGCGUUGUAAUUUGCAGAGGAUGCUUCGGGUGCAGCCCCCGUCUAAGUGCCCUGGAACGGGCCGUCAUAGAGGGUGAGAAUCCCGUCUGGGACGGGGUGUCUGCGUCCGUGUGAAGCUCCUUUCAACAAUUCAAGUUGUUGGGAAAUGCACCCUCUAAAGGGGGGGAAAUUUUCUUCUAAAAGCUAAAUACUGGCCGGAGACCGAUAGCGCACAAGUAGAGUGAUCGAAAGAUGAAAAGCACUUUGAAAAGAGAGUUAAACAGCACGUGAAAUUGUUGAAAGGGAAGCGUUUGCGACCAGACUCGCCCGCGGGGUUCAGCCGGCAUUCGUGCCGGUGUACUUCCCCGUGGGCGGGCCAGCGUCGGUUUGGGCGGCCGGUCAAAGGCCCUCGGAAUGUAUCACCUCUCGGGGUGUCUUAUAGCCGAGGGUGCAAUGCCGGCCUGCCUGGACCGAGGAACGCGCUUCGGCUCGGACGCUGGCGUAAUGGGUCGUAAAUGAGCCCGUCUCUGAACACCGGGACCACAAA